AAAAUUGAAUAGAACUGUUACUGCACUCUGUGCACUGUUCAAUACCACUGGUAGGUAUAGCACCAGAGUGAAAGAAAGACCUUUAUAUCUGGCAUUUCAAUAUAUACUGUGUUCUCCUAGCCCACCCAUACUGCAAUCCCACUCAUGAAUUAUGGAUGUCCAGUUAGAUACUGCAUGAUGUCCAAGAUUAUCAUUGUCAUUCAGUGUAAAAGUGCGUGUUCCCUCAGGAGGAAAAGUGAAUUUGGUACCUUAUGGCUCCUCAAGUGCAUUCUACCCAGGAGCUGGCAGAGAAGAACAACUUGCAUUAUCAUGUGGGUAAAAGAACUCAAUAGUUGAAGGAAUU